UACGUAGGGGGCAAGCGUUGUCCGGAAUCAUUGGGCGUAAAGAGCGUGUAGGCGGUCCGGUAAGUCGGCUGUGAAAGUCCAGGGCUCAACCCUGGGAUGCCGGUCGAUACUGCCGGACUAGAGUUCGGAAGAGGCGAGUGGAAUUCCCGGUGUAGCGGUGAAAUGCGCAGAUAUCGGGGAGGAACACCAAUGGCGAAGGCAGCUUGCUGGGACGGUACUGACGCUGAGG
rnacentral:rRNA from 1 species